rnacentral:rRNA from 1 species
AGAGUUUGAUCCUGGCUCAGGACGAACGCUGGCGGCGUGCCUAAUACAUGCAAGUAGAACGCUGAAGAGAGGAGCUUGCUCUUCUUGGAUGAGUUGCGAACGGGUGAGUAACGCGUAGGUAACCUGCCUUGUAGCGGGGGAUAACUAUUGGAAACGAUAGCUAAUACCGCAUAACAAUGGAUGACCCAUGUCAUUUAUUUGAAAGGGGCAAACGCUCCACUACAAGAUGGACCUGCGUUGUAUUAGCUAGUAGGUGAGGUAACGGCUCACCUAGGCGACGAUACAUAGCCGACCUGAGAGGGUGAUCGGCCACACUGGGACUGAGACACGGCCCAGACUCCUACGGGAGGCAGCAGUAGGGAAUCUUCGGCAAUGGGGGCAACCCUGACCGAGCAACGCCGCGUGAGUGAAGAAGGUUUUCGGAUCGUAAAGCUCUGUUGUUAGUCAAGAACGAGUGUGAGAGUGGAAAGUUCACACUGUGACGGUAGCUUACCAGAAAGGGACGGCUAACUACGUGCCAGCAGCCGCGGUAAUACGUAGGUCCCGAGCGUUGUCCGGAUUUAUUGGGCGUAAAGCGAGCGCAGGCGGUUUGAUAAGUCUGAAGUUAAAGGCUGUGGCUCAACCAUAGUUCGCUUUGGAAACUGUCAAACUUGAGUGCAGAAGGGGAGAGUGGAAUUCCAUGUGUAGCGGUGAAAUGCGUAGAUAUAUGGAGGAACACCGGUGGCGAAAGCGGCUCUCUGGUCUGUAACUGACGCUGAGGCUCGAAAGCGUGGGGAGCGAACAGGAUUAGAUACCCUGGUAGCCCACGCCGUAAACGAUGAGUGCUAGGUGUUGGAUCCUUUCCGGGAUUCAGUGCCGCAGCUAACGCAUUAAGCACUCCGCCUGGGGAGUACGACCGCAAGGUUGAAACUCAAAGGAAUUGACGGGGGCCCGCACAAGCGGUGGAGCAUGUGGUUUAAUUCGAAGCAACGCGAAGAACCUUACCAGGUCUUGACAUCCCGAUGCUAUUUCUAGAGAUAGAAAGUUACUUCGGUACAUCGGUGACAGGUGGUGCAUGGUUGUCGUCAGCUCGUGUCGUGAGAUGUUGGGUUAAGUCCCGCAACGAGCGCAACCCCUAUUGUUAGUUGCCAUCAUUCAGUUGGGCACUCUAGCGAGACUGCCGGUAAUAAACCGGAGAAGGUGGGGAUGACGUCAAAUCAUCAUGCCCCUUAUGACCUGGGCUACACACGUGCUACAAUGGUUGGUACAACGAGUUGCGAGUCGGUGACGGCAAGCUAAUCUCUUAAAGCCAAUCUCAGUUCGGAUUGUAGGCUGCAACUCGCCUACAUGAAGUCGGAAUCGCUAGUAAUCGCGGAUCAGCACGCCGCGGUGAAUACGUUCCCGGGCCUUGUACACACCGCCCGUCACACCACGAGAGUUUGUAACACCCGAAGUCGGUGAGGUAACCUUUUGGAGCCAGCCGCCUAAGGUGGGAUAGAUGAUUGGGGUGAAGUCGUAACAAGGUA